rnacentral:rRNA from 1 species
UACGUAGGGGGCAAGCGUUGUCCGGAUUCAUUGGGCGUAAAGAGCGUGUAGGCGGCCAGGUAGGUCGGUUGUGAAAACUGGAGGCUCAACCUUCAGAGGUCGACCGAAACCAUCUGGCUAGAGUCCGGGAGAGGAGAGUGGAAUUCCUGGUGUAGCGGUGAAAUGCGCAGAUAUCAGGAGGAACACCGGUGGUGUAGACGGCUUUCUGGACCGUAACUGACGCUGAGACACGAAGGCGUGGGUAGCAAACAGG